rnacentral:misc_RNA from 1 species
CAGAACAGCAGCCUCCUCCAAUUUGAUCUCCUUUGGAGUUUUCAUGUAAUUAUGCCAUCGAUGAGCCCCAUUGGGACGAAGAUGGUCCUGAACUCGAGCAGCUGCUUUACCAUUUCCAUACGUCAAAAAGUAAUUUGGAUUGCCACGGGUUGCUUCUUUAUACAUGCCAAAAUAUGUAUCCUUCGUUAGAUGGUCAUAAUUCUUCUUGAACAUUGAUACCUCUGUAAAAGGAUCCUUGAUGUCCUCUCGUUCAACACUGCUCUCAUAGUUAGGAAAGAUAACCAUGUCAACGUUUGAAGGCACGUCAAGAAGCAACUGCCUCAAAGAAUACUCUCGAGCACCGGCCGGGUGUAUUAACUCAUCUGUGUCUAGAUGAAUUAUCCAAUCCAUACCAGCAUCCCUUGCCAUCACUAUGGCCAUCUCCAUAUUAAGAGAUUGCUUCACAAAGAGCUCGUAAUUGCAAGGUUUAUAAAAGAAACUGGACAGCCACGUUUCAUUCCAAAUCCGGCUUUUGGCUUGUUGCUCCUCUAGCUUUCUUGUUCUGUAUAUUACUUUUACUCCUGGAAUGGAUUCAAGGACUUUAGAAACAUCAGGAGAUGCCGCCUUCCCUUCCACAAAAAGCAAAAAUGAUGUUACCCCAAUUACUUUAUGAUAGAACAUCCACGGUAAAAUCUGCUCUAGGCCAGCAGAUGUACUGGUUGUAAUACAUAUCUUGGGUUUGAGAUCUGGAUGAAGUUUAAAUUUCCAGUCUUUAUAGUAAGGGAACGACGGCGUAUUGGUAUGAGCAAGAAGAGAACAAUCUGAUGACUGAGAAGAGUGAGCAACAGUGGCUAAAGGAGAAGUGUCCAUGCCCGGAAACUUAUGAGACUCUUCAGGAGACCAUCGAGAGAUUGGAUCGUCAACUCCACCACCACGCCAUUGAAGAAAAAAAGCAAAAACAGCCAAAGAUAGAGGAAGGAUUGUAAGGAGAAGAAGAAGCUUCGAGAAGAAAGAUUGCUGUGAAGAUGAAGAAGAAGAAGAUGGUGGUUGGGGUCUGAGAGAGGUGUAGAGACCCGCCAUUGGAG